rnacentral:rRNA from 1 species
UACGUAGGGUGCAAGCGUUGUCCGGAAUUAUUGGGCGUAAAGAGCUCGUAGGCGGUUUGUCGCGUCUGCUGUGAAAACCCGAGGCUCAACCUCGGGCCUGCAGUGGGUACGGGCAGACUAGAGUGCGGUAGGGGAGAUUGGAAUUCCUGGUGUAGCGGUGGAAUGCGCAGAUAUCAGGAGGAACACCAAUGGCGAAGGCAGAUCUCUGGGCCGUAACUGACGCUGAGGAGCGAAAGCAUGGGGAGCGAAACAGG